rnacentral:lncRNA from 1 species
UGAAUAAAUAAAUGUAAUCAGAGCAACUAUUUAUUUCAUUUCUUGGAAAUAAGCACUUUAAUUUGUUUCUCCUCAGUGUGAUAAAUUGUACCCUCAUUCAGGCACUGUGGGAAGCACACUUCUAAGAUGGCACCUAACAAUCCUUGCCCUCCUGCAUUCAUACCCCUCUCUGUGAGUGUGGGCUGAACCUAUGACCUGCUUCUAAUGAAUUACAUAGGACAAACAUGAUGGGAUGCCGCUUCUGAGAUUAGGUUACAAAAGGUUAUAACUUCUGUCUUGUUACUUUUUUCCUUGCUUUGAUGAGUGAACUGCCAUGUUGGAGAGGCCCAUGUGACACAGAGGUUGUAGUGGCCCUUGACCAAAACCAGCUGGGAGCAGAGGUCUUUAGACUAACAGCUCUGAAGGAACUGAAUCCUGUUAACAGCCAAUGAGUAAGCUUGGAAAUAAUCCUGCAUGAGUGAGAUCUUGAUUGCAGCCCUGUGAGAGAGACCGAAGCAGGGAACCCAGAAGGCCUCUGAUUUAGUCCACUGGAAUGAUUAGACUGGAGGAACUAAGUAAAAAUGACUUGGAUCAGAAAAUACUGGAGACAGAGAAACCAGUUAAAGCCUAUUGAUGUGCUGGUGAUUUGAGAUAUAGAGCAUCUCUGUGAAAUAAAACGUACUGAAAAACUUCAGCCCUCAGUGCUUCUCCCCAUGUUACAAGAUACUGGCAUCAGAAAAGACCACAAAAUGAAUACCAGUCUUUACUACUUCCUUGCUUUCCAAAUCCCUACUGGGAAGUAAGAUUUAGCAGUGUGAGAGUAAUUAAGCAGAAUACCUCCUUCCUCCAGAUACCAACACAGAUGCAUAAGAAGACAUAGCUGAAUUUUUGAGCAACAGAUGUUAACUUACAAAGGACAAGAUAAGCUGUACUGUGUUCUUUGCAACAGAAGUCAAAUAUCCCAACAUGAGAAGAGCCUCUGUGCAUAUAGGCAAAGAUAACCAACUGUAGCUAAAGGCUCCCGUGUACUUUCAGUACUCAAAAUAGUCAUGCAUAUGGGGAUUCUGUCAGUCAACACCAUAUCUGCUGUUGAUGUUGGUAACAGUGACCAUCAGAAACUUCAGGAAGUGAAAGAAGAUCUCCCAUAGAAAAGGAAACCAUGAACACAGAGAAGAAUCCAAAAAGGACAUGUCUGUUGGCAAACAACUUGGGAGAGAACCAGAAGUGAACCCAGUUGCUUGUGUCAUUAUUUUGCCUUAGCCUCCAAGAGCCUGAACAGCCCAAGGAGGACAAGACAGUCUUGACCUAAGGGAAAGAUAUGCUUUAUUUACAAGAAAACAUUAAAAAAUCUGUUUUGUACAGGAAACUGUCUAGUUCUUUUCCUAUUCACUGCCCCCAAAGAUGACCUAUGAAGCUGGAGAAACUGGAUUAUCGGGAGCCUUGAGCAGCCUUAAGCCCAGGGUGCUAAGGUCACAAAAUGGAUCACUCUCCCUUUGCUGGCUGGGCUCCAGCCACAGCAGGCUUUUUUGAGCUUAUCAAAUAUACUAAGCUCAUUUCAGCUUAGCCCCUGCACUUGGUAAUCCCACUGCCUGCGAUACUCUGCCCCUCAUUGUGUGCAUGGCUAGCACCUUUUCAUUCAAGUCUCAGUUUAAAUGUCAUCUUCUUAAAUAAACCUCGUAUCUAAAGUAUCUAACUCAUCCAACCCUCCCCUGCUGCCUGUUAGUCUGUAUCACAUGAUCUAGUGAUAUUUUCUUCAUAGAGUUUAUCACUAGCUUCAAGUUUCAUUUUAUUUAGUUGCAUAUUUGCUUGUUGUCUAUCUCUCCCCACUAGCAUUUAAAUUCCAUGAGAAUUAGUAUAGAAUCUGUCUUGUUCGCUAUUGUGCCCUCAACAAAAGGCACUGCCACUAGUACAUGAAAGAUGUUCCCUAAAUAUUUGUUGCAUGAAAUAAUAUAUUUUCAUUUCACUAAACCUCAACAUCCUCAUCUAUAAAUAGGACUGAUAUCACUACUUAUAAAGAUUAUAAAAUAAGUGAUAAGCAGUAAACACAAAUUAUGCAGACAAUAUUCAAGAAGUAUUAACUUUUAUUAUCACCAUGAAUUACAAUUUCUACAUUAUUAACACUGAGAACUAAGUGCCUGGCACAGAGUAGGUUUUCACCAAAUGAAUGAAUGAAUGAAAGAAUUAAUAAGAAUUAUACUGAGAGAUUACAAACAACAUGGUUGUCAUAAGCUCUCAGAACUAACUCAAAGAAAAUACUGCCACAGCCUCUGGGGUACUUUAGAUAGAUUAAUGUCU